AACCCGGCUGCGUGAAGCUGGAAUCGCUAGUAAUCGCGGAUCAGAAUGCCGCGGUGAAUACGUUCCCGGGUCUUGUACACACCGCCCGUCACACCAUGGGAGCCGGAAACGCCCGAAGCCAGCGGCCCAACCGCGAGGAGGGAGCUGUCGAAGGCGGGUCCGGUGACCGGGGUGAAGUCGUAACAAGGUACC
rnacentral:rRNA from 1 species